GCAAAUAACACUAUCAUUUGAGCAUCCGUAGGAACGAAAAACAGACUAAGACACGGAAACAGCUAUAAAGUUUAGUCAUUCAAUCAAUACAUGGAAAACAUUGAAACGCACGUAAAUGGUCUUGUCGACAAUGUGGGCAAUCUCAAGAAAGAAGUUUGUAAUGUCAAAUUUAAAACCGAUUUGAAUAACUUGAAUUUACCUGAAAUACCGAAAAUGAAUGGAUUGUUAGACGAGCAAUCGUCAAAGAUUGAAGAAUUGCUUAAAGAAAUCGUUCAAGGAGAGAAAAAAUUCAAUGGAAGAAUUGACGAAUUGACUGCAAGCAAUAACCAAUUGAGGGCAGAGAAUAACAGAAUUACGAAAAGGUUAGAAGAAAUGCAAAGGCAAAUUGACGACUUGAGUGCAGACAAUGAAAAAUUAAAUGCAAGAAUUAACCAAGCGUUGGCAGGCAAUGAAAAACUCAAGGCUAGAAAAUAACGCAUUUAAAUAAAUGUUUGAAAAUAUGCAAAGGCAAUUAACGAAAUGAGCCAGAACAAUUCAACUUGAUUCAAUAAUACUUUGGGCUUUCAUGCUCGAACAAUCUAUUCACACUUUUUAAAGCAGAUUUUAGACACCAAACUUAUGUUACUUGACGUCUGAAAAGCACUUGAUAUCUAUCUAUAGCAUCAUUUACGAUAUAAUGUUUUUAAAAAUAUGGCUAGUUACGCCGGUAAUUGUAAUUUUACUCGUAGAUAUAAACAUUGCUUAGCUUAAUAACUUCAUUUACACUUGUAAUAAUUUGUAUAAAAAUAAAUAAAGGAAUAGCUAUACACAGUA